rfam:Gossypium arboreum cultivar AKA8401 contig_84808_1, whole genome shotgun sequence.
AACCUAUGAUGAGGGCACUUACAAAGUAACUCAUUAAAUCGCUCCCAAGCCUCAUACAGAGACUCGUUAUCCAAUUGUUAGAAAGUUGUGAUCUUGUUCUUCAACUU